CCUGGCUCAGAACGAACGCUGGUGGCGUGUCUUAUACAUGCAAGUCGAGCGAGGCAGCAAUGCCGAGCGGCGAACGGGUGAGUAACGCGUAAGCAAUCUGCCCCAUAUCAGGAAAUACCCGUGCCAACGCGCGGUUAAUGUCCAGGAGAGUGGCUAGCUGCAUGGCUAGUUGACUAGAGAUUUAUCGGUAUGGGAUGAGCUUGCGUCCGAUUAGCUAGUUGGCGGGGCAACGGCCCACCAAGGCGACGAUCGGUAGCCGGCCUGAGAGGGUGAUCGGCCACAUUGGGACUGAGAUACGGCCCAGACUCCUACGGGAGGCAGCAGUAGGGAAUAUUGCACAAUGGGGGGAACCCUGAUGCAGCAACGCCAACGUGUGGGAAGAAGCAUUUCGGUGUGUAAACCACUGUCGUGAGGGAAUAAGGCCCAGUUUCGGCUGGGAUUGAAUGUACCUCGAAAGGAAGCACCGGCAAACUUCGUGCCAGCAGCCGC
rnacentral:rRNA from 1 species